rnacentral:rRNA from 1 species
UACGAAGGGGGCUAGCGUUGCUCGGAAUCACUGGGCGUAAAGGGUGCGUAGGCGGGUCUUUAAGUCAGGGGUGAAAUCCUGGAGCUCAACUCCAGAACUGCCUUUGAUACUGAAGAUCUUGAGUCCGGGAGUGGUGAGUGGAACUGCGAGUGUAGAGGUGAAAUUCGUAGAUAUUCGCAAGAACACCAGUGGCGAAGGCGGCUCACUGGCCCGGUACUGACGCUGAGGCACGAAAGCGUGGGGAGCAAACAGG